rnacentral:rRNA from 1 species
AGAGUUUGAUCAUGGCUCAGAUUGAACGCUGGCGGCAGGCCUAACACAUGCGAGUCGAGCGGUAGAGAGAAGCUUGCUUCUCUUGAGAGCGGCGGACGGGUGAGUAAUGCCUAGGAAUCUGCCUGGUAGUGGGGGAUAACGUUCGGAAACGGACGCUAAUACCGCAUACGUCCUACGGGAGAAAGCAGGGGACCUUCGGGCCUUGCGCUAUCAGAUGAGCCUAGGUCGGAUUAGCUAGUUGGUGAGGUAAUGGCUCACCAAGGCGACGAUCCGUAACUGGUCUGAGAGGAUGAUCAGUCACACUGGAACUGAGACACGGUCCAGACUCCUACGGGAGGCAGCAGUGGGGAAUAUUGGACAAUGGGCGAAAGCCUGAUCCAGCCAUGCCGCGUGUGUGAAGAAGGUCUUCGGAUUGUAAAGCACUUUAAGUUGGGAGGAAGGGUUGUAGAUUAAUACUCUGCAAUUUUGACGUUACCGACAGAAUAAGCACCGGCUAACUCUGUGCCAGCAGCCGCGGUAAUACAGGGGGUGCAAGCGUUAAUCGGAAUUACUGGGCGUAAAGCGCGCGUAGGUGGUUUGUUAAGUUGGAUGUGAAAUCCCCGGGCUCAACCUGGGAACUGCAUUCAAAACUGACUGACUAGAGUAUGGUAGAGGGUGGUGGAAUUUCCUGUGUAGCGGUGAAAUGCGUAGAUAUAGGAAGGAACACCAGUGGCGAAGGCGACCACCUGGACUAAUACUGACACUGAGGUGCGAAAGCGUGGGGAGCAAACAGGAUUAGAUACCCUGGUAGUCC